GAGUAAGGUUCGGAAAUCCCACGGAGAACAUCAUGCCGCUCAGCCUCGCUUCCCUGUCCCUCGUCCAUGCCGGUGCAGCCCGUACCGCGCCUGUUCGUGCGUGGCGGAUCGCGGUUGCCGGCUAUUACUUCGGGUAUUGGUGGUUUAGCCACAGGCGCGCCUGAUACCCCGUACAGGCGCCCCAGCAAGCAGGGUCGCCACCAGAGCAGUUUUCGCAAACCCCCGGUCGGCAACCCGACCGGGG
rnacentral:sRNA from 1 species